AGAGUUUGAUCAUGGCUCAGGAUGAACGCUAGCGGCAGGCCUAACACAUGCAAGUCGAACGGUAACAUAGAGAAGCUUGCUUUUCUGAUGACGAGUGGCGCACGGGUGCGUAACGCGUAUGCAAUUUGCCUUGUACUGGAGUAUAGCCCAGGGAAACUUGGAUUAAUCCUCCAUAGUCUAUUGAAUUGGCAUCAUUUUAAUAGUAAAGGUUACGGUACAAGAUGAGCAUGCGUCCUAUUAGCUAGUAGGUGUGGUAACGGCACACCUAGGCUACGAUAGGUAGGGGUCCUGAGAGGGAGAUCCCCCACACUGGUACUGAGACACGGACCAGACUCCUACGGGAGGCAGCAGUGAGGAAUAUUGGACAAUGGGCGCAAGCCUGAUCCAGCCAUGCCGCGUGCAGGAAGACGGCCCUAUGGGUUGUAAACUGCUUUUAUACGGGAAGAAUAAGUGUUACGUGUAACACGAUGACGGUACCGUAAGAAUAAGCACCGGCUAACUCCGUGCCAGCAGCCGCGGUAAUACGGAGGGUGCAAGCGUUAUCCGGAAUCAUUGGGUUUAAAGGGUCCGUAGGUGGACUAAUAAGUCAGUGGUGAAAGUCUGCAGCUUAACUGUAGAAUUGCCAUUGAUACUGUUAGUCUUG
rnacentral:rRNA from 1 species